GAGGGAUCAUGGAGCAGGUGUCUGACUGUUGCUUGAUACUGUCAUUUUUAUCUUGUAUUCGAUUCCUUUCCCACUUUAACAUGUAUAUGUGCAAAUCAAAAGUCAACAUUCUAUGGUUUGCAGGAUCCUUUGCCACUUGUACCACCAGGUUGUUCUGCUGAUAAACCGGAUGCUAUACAGGAUUUCAUUUUGAAGGGGAAAGCUGCGCUUGUUUCUGUUGGAAUAAUAAGAGACUCAGUUCUUGGUAAUGGAAAGGACUCUGGAAAGCUUUCUGGCCGUAUAGUUGAUUCGGACAUGCAUGAUGUUGGGCGUUUCCUUAACAGGCUCCUGGGAUUGCCACCUGAAAUCCAAAAUAGGCCUUUUGAGUUAUUUGUCAGCAUUCUUGAUCUUUUAGUUCAGAAUGCACGCCUUGAAUGACAUUUAGACUCUGGAAUUGUUGAUAUGAAAGCUACCACUGUUGAACUGCAAGGGAUGCCAAAGGUUAUGCUGUUCCUGUUUUGUCUUUGCAUUCUUAUAUAAAACAUAUUGUGACAUCAACCUAUUACAGACUGUUCAUAUUGACAACUUGUCUGGGGCUUCAACCAUAUUGUUUACUUUUACAUUGGACCGUGGACUCAUUUGGGAGUCAGCAUAUGCGUUGCUUGCAGAGAAGCAAAAGGAUGAGUCUAGUUCAACUAAUAGUGGAUUCUAUGAAUCCAAACGAGAAUGGUUGGGUAGACGGCAUUUUCUAUUAGCAUUUGAAGGGUAUGGAAAUUUUUGGUCGGUAAUUUUGUUAUUUCUGUAUAUUGGUAUUUUGGUUUGCAAGUGCAAUCAACCUUAUUCAACUGGGUAUAAGGGACCAGGUUGUGUUUCUUUUGCAUGCACAAAGGAUUAUGUCUACUUCAAUCAGUCAACUACAUUUCAAUCCCGAUCCCAAAUCAGCUGAGCUUUAUGAGUGAUUUGUACCUUUUCCGCUCUAUCCAAGUCCAUUUCCCCGUGCAUAGCAGGAACUUAAUGCACAUGGCUUCCCUUUAAGGCAACUUAAGGAUUUUCUAUAUCUCGCACUUACCUUACAUGGAUAACUAAUUAUUUAAUCCCAAAUAGUUGGUAGAACUUAUAUAGAUCCAUUUGUUUUUUUUUUAGCUAAGUAUGCAUUUAUUAGGAGAAACUUAAGGUUUUCUGUGACAACUUCUCUCCAUGUGAUUUUAGGUCUAUCUCAUCUAAUUUUAAGACCUUAGAUAAUCAUAUUCAACUUAGGUCAUAACUAGACCAUCUCAUGCUAUCUUUUCUCAUUUUAGCGUCUAUUUAUGCUUCUUGCAUCUGCUGUUGUAUGUGAUCAUUGUAAUCUUGUUCAAUCUUAAAUGACUGUGCAUCUAUUUUAACAUUUUCAUUUCAACGGAAUUCAUCUAUUUUAACAUUACUGGCCUCACAAUUGUCCUAUAUAACUUGUUAGGCAUCUUCCAAUCUCGUGAGGCUCUUCCAUUUCAGAAUUUUAUCUAAUUUCCUUGUUAUUAUUUGAUGAAGGAAUAUUUUAGGAGAAAACCCCACUAUACAGGUAUACAAAAGAGUAGCGGACCUAGAGAAAAUAUGGUUCUCAAGAAUGACAUCCAAUUAUUUUAACCUAAUAGACCUUGCGGUGGGUAUGCAAAAUAUUCACCAGAAACAAAACAUAACUCUUUUAAACUCUACAGAUUCAUAUGCUUACUCAGUGGCUAGACAACUUUGGGCUCAGUUUUCUCGUAUAUUUGGGCUGAAUUGGGUCAUGCUAAACUGGAUCUUCUGACACACUGCGAAUCCCUUCUUUCUUGCAUGAGAUAUUGUUAUUGUGUGUUUAGAAGCUCUUCGUGAAAGAAGAAUUUCUAGGAGUGAAUUCUGUUCUACCAGUGGAGGUACAGACAAGAUUUGUACCACAAAACAAGGGAACUAUAAACCAAACUUCUUUGUUCUCGAUAACUGUGAUAGAUGUUUAUGUUUAUUGGCAUAAACAAGAGGAUGUACAUUUAUACAUAAUACAUUCUGUCUUACUUCUACUUCUCCUAAAACCCUUACUCUCCAGAGGGGUUCUCUACAGUUCCUACUUUUAGUUGGUUCCUUGCUGGUUUCAUCAAUUAACACAAAAUUAUCUACGAACAACGUGCACCAUUUAUACCUCAUGAAACUUUGAAGUAAAAGUGUGCAUUCUCAAGCUUUCAUCUAGCAAUUUGAAGAUUUUGUAUGAAUUGGAAAGAGACAUAGCGUGAUUUCCCCUAGCUGGCCUUCCUUUCACAACUAAUGCAGGCUCAUGCAUGGUCCAAGUCUUUUUCCUGUAGUUGGAUUUUUUUUCUUUUAUAAUGUUCAGUUUUGACCAGUUUAAAGAGUGCAAUGUUAAUUUUGUUCAUAAAAGUGCCUUCGGCCCAAAUGCCCGUGAUUUUGAUCAUUCUGUUUCGUGGUUAUUUCAGUUCUACUUCUGGAAUGUACAAGGUUAUUCGUCCAACUGUUGGAGAGGCCCUUAGGUACUAAAGGAUCGACUUUUAAGCUUUAGGGAGAUGCCCGCAGAAUUGAAUGACAAGUACCGGAAACUAUCUUCCUUAGAAAAAGCCCGUUGUGGAUGGGAAGAUGAAUAUGAUGAUAAAUUUGAGUUUAUUUUUUUGAUAAAAUUUUGGCAUUAUUAUUUUGUGAUUAUUGCGGCAUAUAUGUAUAUAUUGAGUGGAUUGUUUGGAGUUUGACACGAGUUUUUUGCCGUGCGAUUGUGAUUGUAAUUUUGUCAGUGCGGAGCAAUACGGGUAAAUAUGGUGAUUUAUGCCAUGGCAAAGCUAUACGGUCGGAUAUUGUGAUUUUGUCAGGGCGGAGUGAUAAGGAUGGCUAUUGUUAUUGUGACCGAAAUGUGGUGUGAUUCCAUUUGAUGACUUCUUGUUGAAGCUGAAACUUUACUUGCCUUGAAUUGUUAUCACUUGUUCUGAAGAGAUUAUUUUUAUUGUUUUCUGUUA